GGUCGAGUGGCCGAGUGUUAGGCGUUAGUCGGCAAGACUUUCUACGGUGGUUCAAAUCCAUCCUCGACCU
rnacentral:tRNA from 1 species